GCCUCGUUAGCUCAGUUGGUAGAGCAGCUCCCUCUUAAGGAGAUGGUCGUAGGUUCGAUCCCUACACGAGGCA
rfam:Parcubacteria bacterium GW2011_GWA2_39_18 TT37_C0013, whole genome shotgun sequence.